rnacentral:rRNA from 1 species
AACGCGAAGAACCUUACCAGGACUUGACAUCCCUCUGACAGGACUUUAACAGGUCCCUCCUUCGGGCAGAGGAGACAGGUGGUGCAUGGUUGUCGUCAGCUCGUGUCGUGAGAUGUUGGGUUAAGUCCCGCAACGAGCGCAACCCUUGUCAUUAGUUGCCAUCAUUAAGUUGGGCACUCUAGUGAGACUGCCGGGGAUAACUCGGAGGAAGGUGGGGAUGACGUCAAAUCAUCAUGCCCCUUAUGUUCUGGGCUACACACGUGCUACAAUGGCCGGUACAGAGAGAAGCAAUAUCGCGAGGUGGAGCAAAUCUUCAAAACCGGUCCCAGUUCGGAUUGCAGGCUGCAACUCGCCUGCAUGAAGUCGGAGUUGCUAGUAAUCGCGAAUCAGAAUGUCGCGGUGAAUGCGUUCCCGGGUCUUGUACACACCG